rnacentral:rRNA from 1 species
GACGAACGCUGGCGGCGUGCUUAACACAUGCAAGUCGAACGGAAAGGCCCUGCUUUUGCGGGGUGCUCGUGUGGCGCACGGGUGAGUAAAACGCGUGUAACAUGUCCUUGUCUUUGGGAUAACACUAGGAAAAAGGGGAUCUUAUCGGAUAUGAGAUCCUGCUGCAUGGUGGGGGUUGGAGAGAUUCGGCUGUUGGGGCUCGUAUAGCGGGUUAUGCGCUUGUUGGUGGGGUUGUGGAUUACCAAGGUUUCGAAGGGUAGCCGGCCUGAGCGGGUGACCGGCCUCAUUGGGACUGCGAGACGGCCCAGACUCCUACGGGAGGCAGCAGUGGGGAAUAUUGCGGAAUGGGCGGAAGCCUGAGGCAGCAACGCCGCGUGCGGGAUGACGUCCUUCGGGGUGAGAACCGCUUUGGCCGGUGACGAAGCGAGAGUGACGGUAAUUGGUAAAGAAGCACCGGCUAACUACGUG